rnacentral:rRNA from 1 species
CCUACGGGAGGCAGCAGUGAGGAAUAUUGGUCAAUGGACGAGAGUCUGAACCAGCCAAGUAGCGUGAAGGAUGACUGCCCUAUGGGUUGUAAACUUCUUUUAUAAAGGAAUAAAACGAGGCACGUGUGCCUUUUUGUAUGUACUUUAUGAAUAAGGAUCGGCUAACUCCGUGCCAGCAGCCGCGGUAAUACGGAGGAUCCGAGCGUUAUCCGGAUUUAUUGGGUUUAAAGGGAGCGUAGAUGGGUUGUUAAGUCAGUUGUGAAAGUUUGCGGCUCAACCGUAAAAUUGCAAGUGAUACUGGCAGUCUUGAGUACAGUUGAGGUAGGCGGAAUUCGUGGUGUAGCGGUGAAAUGCUUAGAUAUCACGAAGAACCCCGAUUGCGAAGGCAGCUUACUAAACUGUGACUGACAUUGAUGCUCGAAAGUGUGGGUAUCAAACAGGAUUAGAUACCCCUGUAGUC